rnacentral:lncRNA from 1 species
GAACUGGUAGUUGAUCUUGUACUUGGAGCGCAGCCUGGUGCCGAGCGCCAGGCACUGCUCCUUGCGCGCCAGCUUCAGGAGGUUGGGCCCCUCCCGCAUGAUGGCGGCGCCGCCCGUCGGCAUCUCGAACACCUGCUCCUUGGGGGACGUCCACGUGAUCACGUAGAACUCCUCCACCUGCGCCUUCCGGAGCAGCCCGCCCGUGCUGCCGCCGAAGAUCGGGGACGGGGUGUUGGGGUCAAGCUGCGGGGGCACGAACCCCUUGGGCGCCUCCUGGGUCGCCGCCGCGGGGGCCUCCUCGGCGGCCGCGCGGAGCGGGGCCGGCCCGCGGGAGGACGACGGGAGCGCGAGCUGCGAGGACCGCGGCGCCUUCGCCGCUGGCGACCAGGCCGCGGCCAAGAGGUGGCGCGUCGCGGCGGAGGCUUGCGUGGCCAUGGCCAUCGUCGGCUUGAUUCUCGGACGAGCUGGUGCGGCUUCUUGGAGCAAAGCUAAGAGCAAGAUGGCGAGGAGAGAUGAGGAGUGGAGGGCGCGGCGCAGGCACGCAGCUAAGAGGUGAUGCUCUGCUUU